rnacentral:rRNA from 1 species
GAUGAACGCUGGCGGCGUGCCUAAUACAUGCAAGUCGAACGCUUUGUGGUUCAACUGAUUUGAAGAGCUUGCUCAGAUAUGACGAUGGACAUUGCAAAGAGUGGCGAACGGGUGAGUAACACGUGGGAAACCUACCUCUUAGCAGGGGAUAACAUUUGGAAACAGAUGCUAAUACCGUAUAACAAUGACAACCGCAUGGUUGUUAUUUAAAAGAUGGUUCUGCUAUCACUAAGAGAUGGUCCCGCGGUGCAUUAGCUAGUUGGUAAGGUAAUGGCUUACCAAGGCGAUGAUGCAUAGCCGAGUUGAGAGACUGAUCGGCCACAAUGGGACUGAGACACGGCCCAUACUCCUACGGGAGGCAGCAGUAGGGAAUCUUCCACAAUGGGCGAAAGCCUGAUGGAGCAACGCCGCGUGUGUGAUGAAGGGUUUCGGCUCGUAAAACACUGUUGUAAGAGAAGAAUGACAUUGAGAGUAACUGUUCAAUGUGUGACGGUAUCUUACCAGAAAGGAACGGCUAAAUACGUGCCAGCAGCCGCGGUAAUACGUAUGUUCCAGCGUUAUCCGGAUUUUAUGGGCGUAAAGCGAGCGCAGCCGGUUUAUUUAAGUCUGAAGUGAAAGCCCUCAGCUCAACUGAGGAAUUGCUUUGGAAACUGGAUGACUUGAGUGCAGUAGAGGAAAGUGGAACUCCAUGUGUAGCGAUGAAAUGCGUAGAUAUAUGGAAGAACACCAGUGGCGAAGGCGGCUUUCUGGACUGUAACUGACGUUGAGGCUCGAAAGUGUGGGUAGCAAACAGGAUUAGAUACCCUGGUAGUCCACACCGUAAACGAUGAGUGCUAGGUGUUUGAGGGUUUCCGCCCUUAAGUGCCGCAGCUAACGCAUUAAGCACUCCGCCUGGGGAGUACGACCGCAAGGUUGAAACUCAAAGGAAUUGACGGGGACCCGCACAAGCGGUGGAGCAUGUGGUUUAAUUCGAAGCAACGCGAAGAACCUUACCAGGUCUUGACAUCCCUUGACAACUCCAGAGAUGGAGCGUUCCCUUCGGGGACAAGGUGACAGGUGGUGCAUGGUUGUCGUCAGCUCGUGUCGUGAGAUGUUGGGUUAAGUCCCGCAACGAGCGCAACCCUUAUUACUAGUUGCCAGCAUUCAGUUGGGCACUCUAGUGAGACUGCCGGUGACAAACCGGAGGAAGGUGGGGAUGACGUCAAAUCAUCAUGCCCCUUAUGACCUGGGCUACACACGUGCUACAAUGGCGUAUACAACGAGUUGCCAACCUGCGAGGGUGAGCUAAUCUCUUAAAGUACGUCUCAGUUCGGAUUGUAGGCUGCAACUCGCCUACAUGAAGUCGGAAUCGCUAGUAAUCGCGGAUCAGCACGCCGCGGUGAAUACGUUCCCGGGCCUUGUACACACCGCCCGUCACACCAUGAGAGUUUGUAACACCCAAAGCCGGUGGGGUAACCUUCGGGAGCCAGCCGUCUAAGGUGGGACAGAUGAUUAGGGUG